rnacentral:rRNA from 1 species
CAGAGAUGGCAAGCGUUGUUCGGAAUCACUGGGCUUAAAGCGCGUGUAGGCGGAGCGAUAGGCGCCUUGUGAAAUCCCUCGGCUCAACCGAGGAACUGCUUGGCGAACCGGCGCUCUUGAGGCAGGUAGAGGUCACUGGAACCAUAGGUGGAGCGGUGAAAUGCGUAGAGGUCUAUGGGAACGCCGGUGGCGAAAGCGAGUGACUGGGCCUGUUCUGACGCUGAGACGCGAAAGCGUGGGUAGCAAACAGGAUUAGAUACCCUGGUAGUCCACGCCGUAAACGAUGCGCACUAGGUAUGAGAGGUCUGACGCCGCUUGUGCCGAAACAAAAGCGUUAAGUGCGCCGCCUGGGGAGUACGGCCGCAAGGCUA